rnacentral:lncRNA from 1 species
UAUAUUUUUGUGUCUUUUUCCACACAUGGAAUAAUACAUUUAAUAUUGAAACUUGAUUUUUAAAAAUUUCCUGCUAACUUAGCGGAUCAAAACAAAUUUAUUGAUGCAUAAUAAUUAUACAUAUUUAUAGCAUGUGUGUGAUAUUUUUGCAGUGUUUAAAGAUUUGCGGAAAAGAAUAUUGGCAGAACAGAGCUUUGGACUGAAAACACAAGGAUUUAUGUUGACUAUCCAUGAAUACGAAGUGUUUUCCAGCCUUGGACAAUUUUCUCACACACUUGCAUUGAUCAGUACUCCACUGAAUGCCGAUAAGGGUGGGAUGUGAAGGUGGAAUGCGGCCCUCUACAGAGGACUAUGGACGUUUCUCUGCACAGGUAAACAGCCCUGGGACAAAGAACAGACUAUGGGUAUUGCCUUCUUAA